rnacentral:rRNA from 1 species
GACGUAGGAGGCGAGCGUUAUCCGGAUUCACUGGGCGUAAAGCGCAUGUAGGCGGAUGUCUAAGUCGUGUGUUAAAGCCCCUGGCUCAACUGGGGGAGGUCAUGCGAGACUGGAUGACUUGAGGGCAACAGAGGCACGUGGAACUCCCGGUGUAGCGGUGGAAUGCGUAGAGAUCGGGAAGAACACCGGUGGCGAAGGCGGUCUGCUGGGCAGUAGCUGACACUGAGGCGCGACAGCGUGGGGAGCAAACAGG